rnacentral:piRNA from 1 species
UAAUAUGUGCAUAUUGUGGCUAAGCCCU